rnacentral:rRNA from 1 species
CUCCGGUUGAUCCCGCCGGACCCGACUGCUAUCAGAGUGGGACUAAGCCAUGCGAGUCAACAUAGCAAUAUGUGGCAUACGGCUCAGUAACACGUAGUCAACAUGCCCAGGGGACGUGGAUAACCUCGGGAAACUGAGGAUAAACCGCGAUAGGUCAUCACUUCUGGAAUGGGUAAUGACUUAAAUCUAUAUGGCCCCUGGAUUGGACUGCGGCCGAUCAGGCUGUUGGUGAGGUAAUGGCCCACCAAACCUGUAACCGGUACGGGCUCUGAGAGGAGGAGCCCGGAGAUGGGCACUGAGACAAGGGCCCAGGCCCUAUGGGGCGCAGCAGGCGCGAAACCUCUGCAAUAGGCGAAAGCUUGACAGGGUUACUCUGAGUGAUUUCCGUUAAGGAGAUCUUUUGGCACCUCUAAAAAUGGUGCAGAAUAAGGGGUGGGCAAGUCUGGUGUCAGCCGCCGCGGUAAUACCAGCACCCCGAGUGGUCGGGACGUUUAUUGGGCCUAAAGCAUCCGUAGCCGGUUCUACAAGUCUUCCGUUAAAUCCACCUGCUUAACAGAUGGGCUGCGGAAGAUACUAUAGAGCUAGGAGGCGGGAGAGGCAAGCGGUACUCGAUGGGUAGGGGUAAAAUCCGUUGAUCCAUUGAAGACCACCAGUGGCGAAGGCGGCUUGCCAGAACGCGCUCGACGGUGAGGGAUGAAAGCUGGGGGAGCAAACCGGAUUAGAUACCCGGGUAGUCCCAGCUGUAAACGAUGCAGACUCGGUGAUGAGUUGGCUUAUUGCUAACUCAGUGCCGCAGGGAAGCCGUUAAGUUUGCCGCCUGGGGAGUACGGUCGCAAGACUGAAACUUAAAGGGAUUGGCGGGGGAGCA